CCGCCCGCAGCGCCCCCUGCUGGCCGGGCGUGGCGGGGCGCCGCGCACCUGGUCCUCACGGCGCAUGCUCGAGCGCGGCAGGCGGGGGAGCAGAAGGCGCGGUGUCUGGGGUAGAGGGUCGCUGCUGCGCUUCCACGAAGUGGAGUUUUAAGCCCUAAGGUCGCCUACAGACGGACGCUUGAAGGAUUCAAUGGAGAAAAUGUAUCUUCAUCUGAAGUUUCCAAACAAAUCAGGUUUUGUGUUUGUUUCAUGUAAAAUGCCUCCUUUAAAUUACCAAAAUCUUUUUUUUUUUUUGCUAUGUUUUGCUGGGUCCGCUGCACCCAAGCCUCGGCAAUGACAAUGCCAGAUCCUUAAACUCCAAAUUACCAAAAUGUGAAGAGAACGUUCUGGCGCAGCAGAGAAUGCAUGUGAGGACAAAACCUGCUGGGAGCAGAAAAGAUGUGGGGAAGUUAUCCAUCUAGAUCCAUCCGGAUCCGAAGAAAACAGUGUCCCAAGAUUCUGUAUGAGGAUGGCAUCCUCUGCACCCCUGGCAUAAGAGGCCUCUUAAUCCCAGUCUUCCGGUCAGAACUGCAGUGCUAGUGCCUGCGGAUCAGCCUUGACACCGCGCAGCCCUUGGCAGCAGCACCUCCGGGGGGCUUCCCACCUGUAAGUGCUUCCCGCUCAGUAAUUGGAGGUUCUUGGCGUCGGAGAGGUGUUAGCGCUUCAGUCCGGUGCUUCAUCGCGUUUAUAAUCUAACCUCCGCAGACUAACUCCUGAGACGUGGGGGAAGAAGGGUGAUGAAGGGCCACAGACAGCUCGCAGAACCCAAAGGCAGGCGCCCCCUCAGACCUGGGGCUCUGCGAAGUUUGGGGGAAACAGCCGCUCCCUAAGGGGUUGGACCAGCCCCCUCCGCUUACUGAUGCGCAUGCGCACGGGCCCCCAGGCGCCCUUUGGAGGCACAAUUAGGGGCUCAGCCACACCUUCUCGUCUGUAAUGAAGGCUUCGCUGGGGCCGGAGGAAGGGAAGAAAUGCAUUGUUUUAUAGCCAGGAGUGGGUCCCCUUGGUGGCCACAGGGAAGGAAGGCCUCACCUGGUGGGUGCAAAGCUCUGGCCGGGCUGGCCGGGGGAGUCAAUGCGUUUGUCAGAUGGUUAUUUUCAGCUGUGGCCAAAAAAAAAAAGGGUUUUAUGCAAAUGAAGUUUUCAAUUUUGGUAAAUAGCCAAACUCCUGGCUGGCACAUCCUGUGAACGGCUAAUCUGUGCAGCAGUGGCUGAGCUGGAGCCCAGAGUCUGCUUCCUGUGGGUGGAGGGCAUUGCCCACCUGCGCCCGCAGUCAUCGCCUGCUCCUUCGAGCAGGUGUGCCUGUAGUCCUCGCUUCUGCAAGCUGUUCCGAUGAAACUCCAGCUAUUGACUUUCUUCCUGGAACACACCCCGCAGUCUCCUGCUGGACGCGCUCUGCACCAUUCCCUGGGCUUGGAAUCCUCUUCCCCGCGGAAGUGUGAGCUCCAUGAGGUCAGAACUAUGUCUUGUUCAGUGAUGUCUCCCCAGCACCUGGCAUUGUACCUGCUGCAUCAUAGGCAAUUGUAAAUAUCUGAAGUGAAUGAAUGAUGGAUGGAUGGAUAACCACUGACCUCAAAGAGGUACAAUUCCUUGAUGCCACAGACUCAAGGCAAUCAGUGAGCCAGCCUGGGCUCUCUCCUGGCAGCCCAUAUUUCAGUCUUCAGUAUCUUCUCUUUGCUUCUUUUUUCUUUUCUUUUUUUUU